rnacentral:lncRNA from 1 species
GAAGUAAUGUCCUUAUCAAAAUAAUUUAAUUCUCACCACGUACUAAUUCUUCAGCUAUUUGAACGAAAAUAUCAAAAAUGUUGACAGAAAAUUUAAAGGUCAACUUUGUCUUACUGGAAGGGAGGGAGAGCUCCAGACGUACUUAUUAACAGACAAAGCAGGCUUAUGGCUUAUCGUCAGUUUGUGUGCUGGGUCAGGAAAGGUCAACCACUUGGCAAGAAACACAGAAUAAUCCUACCGGC